rnacentral:sRNA from 1 species
CCAGCGCGGUGGCAUGUGCCUGUAGUCCCAGCUACUUACAAGACUGAGGCUGGAGGAUCGCUUGACCCCAGGAGUUCUGGGCUGUAGUGUCCUAUGCCGAUCAGGUGUCCGCACUAAGUUCGGCAUCAAUAUGGUGACCUCCCAGGAGCGAGGGUCCACCCAGUUGCCUAAGGAGAGGUGAACCAGCCCAGAUUGGAAAUGGAGCAGAUCAAAACUUCCAUGCAGGCCGGGCACGGUGGCUCAAGCCUGUAAUCCCAGCACUUUGGGAGGCCGAGGCGGGU